CCUACGGGAGGCAGCAGUGGGGGAUAUUGCACAAUGGGGGGAACCCUGAUGCAGCGACGCCGCGUGGGUGAAGAAGCGCCUCGGCGCGGAAAGCCCUGUCAGCAGGGAAGAAAAGGACGGUACCUGAAGAAGAAGCCCCGGCUAACUACGUGCCAGCAGCCGCGGUAAUACGUAGGGGGCAAGCGUUAUCCGGAUUUACUGGGUGUAAAGGGGGCGCAGCCGGCGAGGCAAGCCAGGAGUGAAAGCCCGGGGCCCAACCCCGGGACUGCUCUUGGAACGGCGUGGCUGGAGGGCAGGAGGGGCAGGCGGUCUUCCUGGUGUCGCGGUUCCAUGCUUAGAUCUCCG
rnacentral:rRNA from 1 species